rnacentral:rRNA from 1 species
UAGUCCACGCCGUAAACGAUGAGAACUAGAUUUUGGUGGUAUUGACCCCUUCAGAAUCGCAGCUAACGCAUUAAGUUCUCCGCCUGGGGAGUACGGCCGCAAGACUAAAACUCAAAGGAAUUGACGGGGGCCCGCACAAGCGGUGGAUUAUGUGGUUUAAUUCGAUGCAACGCGCAAAACCUUACCUAGGCUUGAACUCCUGAGAAGUCGGAGUAAUGUCUGAUGUGUCCUUCGGGAAACUCAGUGAGAGGUGCUGCAUGGCCGUCGUCAGCUCGUGUUGUGAAAUGUUGGGUUAAGUCUCGCAACGAGCGCAACCCCUAUCAUUAGUUGCCAUCAGGUUAAGCUGGGAACUCUAAUGAGACUGCCGUCGUAAGACGUGAGGAAGGCGGGGAUGAUGUCAAGUCAGCAUGGCCUUUAUGCCUAGGGCUACACACGUGCUACAAUGGAUGGUACAAUGGGCAGCAACACAGCGAUGUGAAGCAAAUCUCAAAAACCA